CCCUUAGAUGUUCUGGGCCGCACGCGUGCUACACUGAGUGGAUCAGCGGGUCAGGUUGCGCGAAAGUGUUUCCUAAUCUUGAAAUCCGCUCGUGAUGGGGAUUGACGGUUGCAAUUUUCCGUCAUGAACGAGGAAUACCUUGUAAGCGCGGGUCAUCAUCCCACGCUGAAUACGUCCCUGCCCUUUGUACACACCGCCCGUUGCUCCUACCGAUUGAGUGGUCCGGUGAGGCUUUGGGAUCUGAGCGGAAAGAGCGUUUCGCUGUUUCUGCUCGGAAAACUCAGUCGAACCUUAUCAUUUAGAGGAAGGAGAAGUCGUAACA
rnacentral:rRNA from 1 species